rnacentral:rRNA from 1 species
CAGGCCUAAUACAUGCAAGUCGAACGGCAGCACAGCAGAGCUUGCUCUGUGGGUGGCGAGUGGCGGACGGGUGAGGAAUACGUAGGAAUCUGCCCUUAAGUGGGGGAUAACCAGGGGAAACCCUGACUAAUACCGCAUGAUCUCUUCGGAGCAAAGAGGGGGACCGCAAGGCCUCUCGCUUCUGGAUGAGCCUACGUCUGAUUAGCUAGUUGGUAGGGUAAAGGCCUACCAAGGCGACGAUCAGUAACUGGUCUGAGAGGAUGAUCAGUCACACCGGAACUGAGACACGGUCCGGACUCCUACGGGAGGCAGCAGUGGGGAAUAUUGGACAAUGGGCGCAAGCCUGAUCCAGCAAUGCCGCGUGUGUGAAGAAGGCCUUCGGGUUGUAAAGCACUUUAGCCUGGAAAGAAAAAACUUUGGUUAACACCCAAAGUCUUGACGGUACCAGGAGAAUAAGCACCGGCUAACUCUGUGCCAGCCGCCGCUGUAACAC